AGAAUCAACGCUGGCGGCGUGCCUAACACAUGCAAGUCGAACGAGAAAGUGGUAGCAAUACCAUGAGUAAAGUGGCGCACGGGUGAGUAACACGUGACUAACCUACCCUGGAGUGGGGGAUAACUGAGGGAAACCUUAGCUAAUACCGCAUAAUACCUACGGGUCAAAGGAGCAAUUCGCUUUGGGAGGGGUCGCGGCCGAUUAGCUAGUUGGCGGGGUAAUGGCCCACCAAGGCGAUGAUCGGUAUCCGGCCUGAGAGGGGCGCGACGGACGACGACUGGAACUGAAACACGGUCCAGACUCCUACGGGAGGCAGCAGUGGGAAUUUUGCGCAAUGGGGGAAACCCUGGCGCAGCAACGCCGCGUGGAGGAUGAAGUACUUCGGUACGUAAACUCCUUUCGAUCGGGACGAUUAUGACGGUACGAGAGAAGAAGCCCGGCUAACUUCGUGCCAGCAGCCGC
rnacentral:rRNA from 1 species